UGUGUUACUUAUAAAAGGCCGUGCCAUUGAGUUCUUUCUUUCUUUUCCGUCUUGUGAGGCUUGCCGUUGGCAAUUGAGCAGUCAUGCCCGUUGCUAGAACUUGGGUGUGUAGUAAGACGUACGUCACUCCGAGGCGACCAUUUGAGAAGUCGCGUCUCGACCAGGAGCUUAAACUUAUUGGAGAGUAUGGGCUCCGCAACAAGCGUGAGGUGUGGAGGGUGAAGUUCACUCUGGCAAAGAUCCGCAAAGCUGCCCGAGAGCUCCUUACGCUUGACGAGAAAGACCCGAAGCGGCUUUUCGAGGGCAAUGCUUUGUUGCGUCGUCUGGUGCGCAUUGGAGUGCUUGAUGAAGGCAAAAUGAAGCUCGAUUAUAUCUUGGGAUUGAAGGUAGAAGACUUCUUAGAAAGACGUUUGCAGACCCAGGUCUUCAAACUGGGCUUGGCAAAGUCUAUUCAUCAUGCCCGAGUGUUAAUCAGGCAGAGACACAUCCGCAUACUACUUGUCCCUUGAAAACCUUAAUGUGGUUAAGCUGCCUGACAGCUGCGAGGGGUAAUGCAUUUCAGCAAGGUCAAUUCGGCAGUGAGCCGUAUACCUUGUGAAUAUCUGAAUGGCUCCAGCCAGACUCGGGUCUCUACUUGACAGUGUCCGCAAGCAAGUUGUCAAUAUUCCAUCUUUCGUGGUCCGGCUGGACAGCCAGAAGCAUAUAGACUUCUCCUUGCGAUCACCAUAUGGUGGUGGCAGGCCUGGACGGG